rnacentral:lncRNA from 1 species
CUGCGUCGAGAUUUUGUUGGGCGAAUUUUGCUGAUUGGCGAGAAGUUGGGCUAUGUUGGGAACUAAUAAUUUUUUAUGUAAUGUGUCAAGAUUAGGAUUGUGGGAUGGUUGUUAGAUUAUUUUGUGGGAGUCUUUGACUUUUGAGUUGUUGAUUUUGAAAAGGUUUCAUGUCUCUACUUGAUUUCUUAUGAGGGGAGUUAGAGUUGGAUUAGGAGAGGUGUGGAGCUGAAUUAAGAUUACUUACUUUUAUGUUAAGUGUGGAAGAAGAGAGGGCUAUCGAGACACACUACGAUCGAUCGAGAUUUUGAAGAACAAGAGCUUGGAGGAAAGAAAGAAGGGG